rnacentral:rRNA from 1 species
CCUACGGGAGGCCGCAGUGAGGAAUUUUGGUCAAUGGGCGCGAGCCUGCACCAGCCAAGUAGCGUGAAGUAUGACUGCCCUACGGGUUGUAAACUUCUUUUAUAAAGGAAUAAAGUGAGGCACGUGUGCCUUUUUGUAUGUACUUUAUGAAUAAGGAUCGGCUAACUCCGUGCCAGCAGCCGCGGUAAUACGUAGGUUGCAAGCGUUGUCCGGAUUUACUGGGUCUAAUGGGCGUGCAGCCGGGAAGACAAGUAAGAUGUGAAAUCCCGCGGCUCAACCGCGGAACUGCAUGUGAAACGGUUUUUCUUGAGUACCGGAGAGGUCAUCGGAAGUCCUUGUGUAGCGGUGAAAUGCGUAGAUAUAAGGAAGAACACCAGUGGCGAAGGCGGAUGACUGGACGGCAACUGACGGUGAGGCGCGAAAGCGUGGGGAGCAAACAGGAUUAGAUACCCGGGUAGUC